ACAAAUGUAACACUGUGGCUGCGCUCAUAAGACUUUAAUCAGGAAGUAAUGACAGUGUUUGCUUGGUUUGCUUGUAUGUCAGCUGUUUGCUGUGAAGUGGGAUUUAACUAUAUCAUCAGGAUGUUCAGUCGAAGUUCCUGAGAGUGUAUCUGGACGAGUGUCUCUAGACGUGAUCUGCACCAGGAUGUGGGCAAAGCGACCAGGAUUCCUUUUUCUGCUGCCAUGGGUUUUACUUCAAGUUCCAUAUACAGUUGUCUGUGGCCUGAGACACAAGACUGCCUGUUACAACUUCGCCCUGAUGGUCGACCCCCAGUGUGCCGCCACAGAGAUGCUUCUCCCCACCAUGUUUACACUCGGGGUGUCCUCUGACGUUACGUGUCACAGGGAAAUAACUUCAAGUAAUUUAAGAAAUAAAAGGAAUAGACGAAAUCAGACGUUGUUGUCAACAGCGUGAGAAUGAUACCGUGACUGAGUACUGCCUUCCUGCCACGAAGAACCAACUGAGAGAUCACUACUACCUGGACUUUGUGGACAUCUGCACGGCCUCUACAAGAUGUCAGCUGUCUUCAUAUGGUGGUUUGGUGUCACAUACUAGUGGUGAAGACUACGUGACGUUCACCUACCACUGUGUACACAAGGACACAGUGCUGCACAUCCAACACGACUCUACACACACAGGACAGGAGGUGUACCUGUACAACGACCAGCAUGACGGAGAGGCCCAUGCCAACUGUAUAGCAUACUCUCAUGAGUGUGACUCUCAUGUCAUUAUACAACUUGCUGCAACACGAGUUGUGUCCUCUGUCUGUCGUGUGACCUUCACUGAUGGAGACGUGUCUGUCCGGGUGGACUGUAAGAAUCCACCUGCAUCCAGCAACUGUUCCAGUACAAUGUUUGAGAGCAAGUCCAACUAUGUUAACAUGUCAAUAUUCAUGACAGUCGACCCUGGACGUCAAGAAAAGGAAUUUUUGUGGAUCCGAGCGAAAGCCGAUACAGGUAAGAAUGUCACCGUCGUAUGCGGAACCAACAUUCCUUCAGAUGUGUCACUGAACUGCCCCACGUCUACAUCUACAACUCCUACAACAACUACUACUGUUGUUACUACUACUGCUGCUGCGGGAACUACUGCUACUGCCGUUGCUUCUGCCACUUCUACUUCUUCCACGACUAAACAAGCAACAAUGGAGCCCAACACAGUCAGCACACAAAAACCGGGAGGAGUAAAACCAUCAGCUGAGACCUCUUCACCAAAGGGUACUGACAUAUCAACUUCAACAAGAGAACCCCAACCUUCAACACCAAGCAAAGAGGUGUUUAUAAUCGGCGGGAGUGUUGGAGGAGCCGUGUUGAUAGCUGUCAUAGUGACAAUCACAGUGUGCGUACGGCGAAGGAAAAGAAACAGUUCAGAGAAUACAGACCAAAAACGUGAAAUCAUGAACGAAAGCCAAGAGAAUGGAUACAGCUCCAACGGUGCCAGGAACUCCGGCGGUGACAAUGGAUGCAUGUCCAACCCAAUCUACGAGGCAACUGAUGACUACAAGAUGGAGCAGUUACACCGGAAUAGCUGUGGUGACGAGGGCUCUGGACAUGAAACCGUGUCUCCUUACGCCCUGUCCGGACCAGCUCGUCCGGGUCUCAGCCUGAAGAAAAACACCUGGGUGACGCAAAGUAAACUGGACUAUUUUGACGAUAUCCUUUUCAAUGACCAGCCCAGUGGAGAAGAUUCAGAAGAGACAAGCGAUGUUCAAGCUUCAGAUCUCUACGCCAAGGUGAACAAGCCACAGCGGACCGAUCAGGUGUCGGAUAUAUAUGCCAAAGUUGACAAGUCAAGGACGACCGUUCGUGGAACAUCCGGGUCGUGCGCUGAUGGAAGUGAGAAUGAUGACGUCGCUACGCUGUACGCAAAGGUUCAGAAGUGACUCGAAAUGAGGACAUCCUUUUCUGUGUGAAUUGAAUGAGUUAGUUUUACGCCGCUUUUAGCAAUAUUUCAGCAAUAUCACGCGGGGAACACAAGAAAUGGACUUCACACAUUAUUUGUUAAGAAAAUGGGCUUCACACAUUAUUUGUUAAGAACACAUGUUGAUUUGUCUAAUAUUUAAUUGUUAUUUAAUGUGUUCUGAAGUAUGUUCUAACGUGUUGAUUAUCUUCCAUUAUAGCUCUUUCGCCUCUAGUUGUUCUUCUGUUCUCGUCUUUGAUUCAUUUUAAAGUGAUGUAUGUUUUGUUAGUGCCUAUUUUGCCUAUUGCUUGUAUUUAUGUAUAAAACAUUUAUAUAUUUGUUAGCAACAGUUUUUAAAUUUUCUUUGCGUUUAAUAUUUCUGCUAUAUUCAUACCUUAUGACCAUGCUGCUUCUGCAUGUCUAUAGUGUCACGUACAGAUCAAAAACAAUAAACACAAAACCUACA